GCCGAAGUAGUUCAAUAGCAGAGCAACUGUUUUGUAAACAGUCGACGGCGGAGCAUAACCAGCCCUUCGGCUCCA
rnacentral:tRNA from 1 species